UACGUAGGGUGCAAGCGUUAUCCGGAAUUAUUGGGCGUAAAGAGCUCGUAGGCGGUUUGUCGCGUCUGCUGUGAAAACUGGAGGCUCAACCUCCAGCCUGCAGUGGGUACGGGCAGACUAGAGUGCGGUAGGGGAGAUUGGAAUUCCUGGUGUAGCGGUGGAAUGCGCAGAUAUCAGGAAGAACACCAACGGCGAAGGCAGCUCGCUGGGACGGUACUGACGCUGAGACGCGAAAGCGUGGGGAGCGAACAGG
rnacentral:rRNA from 1 species